rnacentral:tRNA from 1 species
GGUUUUUUAGUAUAAUGGUCGUACGAUCACCCUUCACGUCUUAAGUAUCAGUUCGAAUCUGGUAAAAGCCA